rnacentral:rRNA from 1 species
AGUGGGUGUAACGUACCUACUAGCCUACGACGGGUACGGGUUGUGAGAGCAAGAGCCCGGAGAUGGAUUCUGAGACACGAACCCAGGCCCUACGGGGUGCAGCAGGCGCGAAAACUUUACAAUGCGGGAAACCGUGAUAAGGGAAUCUCGAGUGCCAGCAUAUAAUGUUGGCUGUCCAGAUGCCUAAAAAGCAUCUGUUAGCAAGGGCCGGGCAAGACCGGUGCCAGCCGCCGCGGUAACACCGGCGGCCCGAGUGGUAACCGUUUUUAUUGGGUCUAAAGGGUCUGUAGCCGGCCAUGUAAGUCCCUUGGGAAAUCUGGCAGCUCAACUGUCAGGCUGCUAGGGGAUACUGCUUGGCUUGGGACCGGGAGAGGUGAGAGGUACCUUGAGGGUAGGGGUGAAAUCUUGUGAUCCUCGGGGGACCACCAGUGGCGAAGGCGUCUCACCAGAACGGGUCCGACGGUAAGGGACGAAAGCUAGGGGCACGAACCGGAUUAGAU